GGGGUUGUGGCUCAGUGGUAGAGCGCUCACCUAGCAUGUAUGAGGCACUGGGUUCAAUUCUCAGCACCACA
rnacentral:tRNA from 1 species